rnacentral:tRNA from 1 species
CAGAGCGUGGCUAGGAUCCAAAUGCAUCUCCCUUACACUGAAAAGUCACCCGUGCAAGUCGAGUCGCCYNGA